rnacentral:lncRNA from 1 species
GAAGAAGAGGAUGAGAGGUCAUUACUAUCUGGUAGGGAGUCCAGUGCGAUGUGGAGCUUCAGGAGUCAGGAGGAGCCCAAAGCAAGGUGGAGCUCCAGAUGGAGGUGGAUCAGACACGAGAUGCGAGAUUUGGAAGGAUGAAAGAUGAUAUCGCAGGGUGAGAUUCUUAUUGCUGCAAGAUGAUAUCCCAAGCAGUUCUCA